GGUUUGUCGUGUGUGGGUGCGAAGGGGUCGUUGGGCGUCGCAGCCGAGAAGCCCGCCUCCUUGAAGGGGUCCGCGCCGAACGAACCGUUCAUCGUACCGAAUUCGUUGCGAGUCUCUGGUUCCUCCUGUAAAAUAGGCCACAGUUACCAGAGCGUCGCUGGGCGUGGCGCCGCGCACCACGCGCUCGAGGUCGGCGGCGCGGAAGCGCGGCGUCAGCGUCAGCUGCGCGGCCGACGGCGACGUCUGCAGCGCCGACAGCGCCUGCUCCAGCUCGCGGUGCUGCUGUUCCAGGUAGCUGAUCUUUAUGUUCGCCUGCGAGUACCAAUCAAUGUUCUUAGUCCACUUGCACUUCUAUUACAUGUAUUAGGUCCUUACAUAUGGAAUUGGCGUUUUGUUUGGAGAACAGUAUUCUCCUCACCGACCCCGACCCGGAUGACUAAAGCAAUCCAAAGCAACCUCCAGCACAGCCAGAAAGCAACGGCUAACCAGCUGCCAGACCAGCUGGAGGAAAACAAGACCAUCGCGCUAAUCCAGGAGCAGUGGAUCAGACGCAAUACCAUAUGUGGCCUUAACAACAUCGGAGGUAAGAUUAUACUCGUAAAUGACACCAACAGCACUUGUCCCAGAUCAUGUAUCUGUGAUCAUAUAUCUAUGAUCAUCUAUCUCCCCCGUAAUUUCAAUGCUAUGCCAUUAACACACUUAUUUUCCAGAGGUCUGACGGCCAUCAAGAUCUCCACUAAUAGACUACAAAAACAUACCUAAUACAGUGAUUGCUUCGGUUUAUCUACCAUCUGACUCGGAAGCACCUACCCCUGAACUCAUAGAGCUGUUUUCUAGGUAUUCGAUCGCAGAUAAUCCUCAGGGCUUCGACGCUUAACAGCUGUGGAAGCAGCCUGGGAGACAGUCACAUACCUGGCUGACGGCCAACACCGACCGACGCAGCUGCGCCGUGAGCGCGUCGCAGUCGGCC